AUUCUAUAAAUGUUGAGAACACUGGAAACUAUUAUCAUUGCUCUUUCAUCAUCUCUACAAACACAGAGAAGACAUUGUACUUACAGGGUGACAGAAAAGAAGGGUGCAUCGAAGUAAACUCAAAAUUCAUGAAACUCCA
rnacentral:lncRNA from 14 species